rnacentral:rRNA from 1 species
AACGAACGCUGGCGGCAUGCCUAACACAUGCAAGUCGAACGAGGGCUUCGGCCCUAGUGGCGCACGGGUGAGUAACGCGUGGGAACCUGCCCUGUGGUACGGAAUAACUCCGGGAAACUGGAGCUAAUACCGUAUGUGUCCUGUGGGACAAAGAUUUAUCGCCAUGGGAUGGGCCCGCGUAGGAUUAGCUUGUUGGUGGG